rnacentral:rRNA from 1 species
UAGGACACUCUAUACGGAGUUACAAAGGACGACAUUAGACGAAUCAUCUGGAAAGAUGAAUCAAAGAAGGUAAUAAUCCUGUAGUCGAAAAUGUUGUCUCUCUUGAGUGGAUCCUGAGUACGACGGAGCACGUGAAAUUCCGUCGGAAUCUGGGAGGACCAUCUCCUAAGGCUAAAUACUCUCUAGUGACCGAUAGUGAACCAGUACCGUGAGGGAAAGGUGAAAAGCACCCCGGAAGGGGAGUGAAAUAGAACCUGAAACCGUGUGCUUACNNCGUUAAUGGGUGAUGGCGUGCCUUUUGUAGAAUGAACCGGCGAGUUACGAUUUGAUGCAAGGUUAAGCAGUAAAUGUGGAGCCGUAGCGAAAGCGAGUCUGAAUAGGGCGUUUAGUAUUUGGUCGUAGACCCGAAACCAGGUGAUCUACCCUUGGUCAGGUUGAAGUUCAGGUAACACUGAAUGGAGGACCGAACCGACUUACGUUGAAAAGUGAGCGGAUGAACUGAGGGUAGCGGAGAAAUUCCAAUCGAACCUGGCGAUAGCUGGUUCUCUCCGAAAUAGCUUUAGGGCUAGCCUCAAGUGAUGAUUAUUGGAGGUAGAGCACUGUUUGGACGAGGGGCCCCUCUCGGGUUACCGAAUUCAGACAAACUCCGAAUGCCAAUUAAUUUAACUUG